AGGCUAUGACGCAACCAAUCAGUGCUUUAAAUGCUUAGAAGGCAACCAAAAGAAGGCUUUUGCACUGGCGAUGAGAGGUUGCAGUGUUGCAGUUAAUGUUCAAAUUGGACAUAGGUGCUAAGUUCAUGGAAUUCCAGUAAGUUCUUCAUCUCUAAUCCUAUUACUCCAUUUUGUCAUGGUUCUGGUUGUUUCAGGUACUUCGUUUCAUGCGUAUUUAUAAGGAG